GAGCUCCUGAGACCAAUCUACAUAUACUACUAUUGAUGUUGCUGAUGAGGACAAUCUGAUGGCCUUCUCUUCUCCCACUGAAAGAUCAAUGCAUGCAUUAUUUUCAUCAACUAGCUGAAGUGGUAGUUUCAACAAUGUCAAUGCCUUGGAAGUACUAUUCAUCAUAGAAUCUGAUAAAGGAUCUGCACAUGCUUCACCAGAGCUGCUGUCAUGGCAUGCAUCUGAUGCCGCCACCAAGGUGUUGGAAUCAGCAAUGUCAUCAUGUCUCAAACUCUCAGCUCUUAGAAAAGGGGAGAGC
rnacentral:misc_RNA from 1 species